rnacentral:rRNA from 1 species
UAGGGAAUCUUCGGCAAUGGACGCAAGUCUGACCGAGCAACGCCGCGUGAGUGAAGAAGGUUUUCGGAUCGUAAAACUCUGUUGUUAGAGAAGAACAAGGAUGAGAGUAGAAUGUUCAUCCCUUGACGGUAUCUAACCAGAAAGCCACGGCUAACUACGUGCCAGCAGCCGCGGUAAUACGUAGGUGGCAAGCGUUGUCCGGAUUUAUUGGGCGUAAAGCGAGCGCAGGCGGUUUCUUAAGUCUGAUGUGAAAGCCCCCGGCUCAACCGGGGAGGGUCAUUGGAAACUGGGAAACUUGAGUGCAGAAGAGGAGAGUGGAAUUCCAUGUGUAGCGGUGAAAUGCGUAGAUAUAUGGAGGAACACCAGUGGCGAAGGCGGCUCUCUGGUCUGUAACUGACGCUGAGGCUCGAAAGCGUGGGGAGCGAACAGG